UUCGCAAUGCCCGAAAGGGUGACGAAGCGACGCCGCGUGGGUGAGGAGGGCCCUCGGGUUGUAAAGCCCUGUCAGGAGUUAAGAAAUGUAGAUUCGCUAAUAUCGGGUCUAUUUGACGAAGGCUCCAAAGGAAGCCACGGCUAACUCUGUGCCAGCAGCCGCGGUAAUACAGAGGUGGCAAGCGUUGUUCGGAAUUAUUGGGCGUAAAGAGCACGUAGGUGGAUUUGUAAGUCAGAUGUGAAAGCCUUCUGUUCAACGGGAGAAUUGCAUCUGAAACUACAGACCUUGAGUACAGGAGGGGAGAAUGGAACUUCUGGUGGAGCGGUGAAAUGCGUAGAUAUCAGAAGGAACGCCGGCGGCGAAAGCGAUUCUCUGGCCUAUUACUGACACUCAGUGUGCGAAAGCUAGGGGAGCAAACGGGAUUAGAUACCCCGGUAGUCCUAGCCGUAAACGAUGGGCACUAAGUAGAGGGGUUUU
rnacentral:rRNA from 1 species